rnacentral:rRNA from 1 species
GAAUAUUGGACAAUGGGCGCAAGCCUGAUCCAGCCUUACCGCGUGGGUGAAGAAGGCCUUCGGGUUGUAAAGCCCUUUUGUUGGGAAAGAAAAGCAGUCGAUUAAUACUCGGUUGUUCUGACGGUACCCAAAGAAUAAGCACCGUCUAACUUCGUGCCAGCAGCCGCGGUAAUAAGAAGGGUGCAAGCGUUACUCGGAAGUACUGGGGGUAAAGCGUGCGUAGGUGGUUGUUUAAGUCUGUUGUGAAAGACCUGGGCUCAACCUGGGAAUUGCAGUGGAUACUGGGCGACUAGAGUGUGGUAGAGGGUAGUGGAAUUACCGGUGUAGCAGUGAAAUGCGUAGAGAUCGGGAGGAACAUCCAUGGCGAAGGCAGCUACCUGGACCAACACUGACACUGAGGCACGAAAGCGUGGGGAGCAAACA